GGCAGUGUGGCGGAGUGGUUUCAGUGUUGGACUACAACUCUGGAGACCAGGGUUCAAUCCCCAGCUUGGCCA